UACGGAGGGUGCAAGCGUUAUCCGGAAUCACUGGGUUUAAAGGGUGCGCAGGCGGACUAGCAAGUCAGAGGUGAAAGCCCCGAGCUUAACUUGGGAACUGCCUUUGAUACUGCUGGUCUUGAAUAUAGUUGAGGUGGGCGGAAUGUGACGUGUAGCGGUGAAAUGCUUAGAUAUGUCCCAGAACACCGAUUGCGAAGGCAGCUCACUAAACUAUUAUUGACGCUCAGGCACGAAAGCGUGGGGAGCAAACAGG
rnacentral:misc_RNA from 1 species